UUUCAGUAUGAUGUUACGAUGGAAAAUGUGGAAUCUUUCUUUGCUAAAUUUAGCAAGGUUAAUAGUGUGAGGCUUCCUCGUCAUGUGGCAGACAAAAGGGUUUUUUGUGGCACGGCUUUGAUUGAGUUUUCUACAGAUGCAGAUGUGAAAGAUAUCUUCAAGCAAACUUUAGUUUACGCUGGAGCCAUUUUAGAGUUAAAGCCAAAAAAGGAGUUUGAUUCUGAGAGAGCAAAAUUGACAGAGCAAAUUGGGAAAGACUGCUCAAAUCAUAAGAAUAAUGCCAGCACG
rnacentral:misc_RNA from 1 species